rnacentral:rRNA from 1 species
UACGAAGGGUGCUAGCGUUGUUCGGAAUCACUGGGCGUAAAGCGCGCGUAGGCGGCUUGCCAAGUCAGAGGUGAAAUGCCGGGGCUUAACCCCGGAACUGCCUUUGAAACUGGCUGGCUAGAGUACUGGAGGGGAUAGCGGAAUUCCUAAUGUAGCGGUGAAAUGCGUAGAUAUUAGGAGGAACACCGGUGGCGAAGGCGGCUAUCUGGACAGUAACUGACGCUGAGGCGCGAAAGCGUGGGGAUCAAACAGG